UGUCUAAGUCCAAGCUGUGUGUUGUGGGUGCAAGCUUACACACACGGCGAAACCGCGGACGGCUCAUUAAAUCAGUCGUAGUCCAAAUGGGCUAGUGUUAUCUUACUCGGAUAACUGUGGUAAUUCCAGAGCUAAUACAUGCAACUGUAAAGUCUGAGUGACUGGCAUUUCGGUGUCGGUCGCGACGACUGCUUUUAUUAGACCAAACCGCUGAGGGUAGUAAUACUCGUAGACUCGUGUUAUGGUGACUCUGAAUAACACCUCUUGACAAGCGCACGUAUCCAUUUAUUUGGGACGGCGCUGCCACUUUCGAGUGUCUGCCUUAUCAGCUAUGUAUCGUUCGUUAUGUGCGACCGAUGGCUUUGACGGGUAACGGGGAAUCAGUGUUCGAUUCCGGAGAGGCAGCCUGAGAAACGGCUACCACGUCCAAGGACGGCAGCAGGCACGCAAAUUACCCAAUCCCAGCAUCUGGGGGAGGUAGUGACGAAAUCUAACGAUGCGGGCGCCCCUUCUGGGGCCCCGCAAUCGGAAUGAGCAUUUUCUUUCUAAAAACCCUGUUGAGAACCUACUGAAGGGCAAGUCUGGUGCCAGCAGCCGCGGUAAUUCCAGCUUCAGCAGCAUCUACUAAAGUUGCUGCGGUUAAAAGGCUCGCAGUUGAAUGUCAGUAUCAAGUGCAGCGAUGGUGGACGUUGGAGUGUGGGAAUGUUUGUGGCGGGGGUUGCGGUUGUCCUCACGGAUGGUCGUGCUCUCGUGGCUUCUUCCUACUUUAACUCCCGUCCGUAACAAGCCUCCUCACUUGCGUACAAAGUGGAAUCUAAUGGUUGAAGUGUCUCGCGUUGGCGGAGUUGCGCGUGUGGUCCGCGUGGUGCCUCACGGUAUCGCGCGCGAUUGUGCGUAUGCGCUUUGUCGGCCGUCUCUGAUACUGGUUUUCAAUGUCACCUUGAGUAAAUCAGAGUGCUCAAAGCAGUCGUAAAGGAUGUGCUGCGUUAACGCGUAGUACGUUCUGUGAUGAAUGUCUAUAUGACAGACAGUCUUGAUUUUGCAUGGUAUGUCGAAAGACGCCGUAUUUCCUAUUGGUAACGGGUCUGGUGCGGGCUUGCAUCCGGGGGAUUCUGUCCCUCGUGUGUGACACACGAGACCAAUAGGUGCGGAAUGAUUAAAAGACACGGUCGAGGGCAUUGGUAUUGCGGGGCGAGAGGUGAAAUUCUAUGACCCCCGCAAGACCUCCUGAAGCGAAAGCGUCUGCCAAGGACGUUUCAUAAUCAKAACGAGGCCGUGGAGCCUGCGGCUUAAUUUGACUCAACACGGGCCAUCUCACCAGGCCAGCACUCUUGUACGAUUGACAGAUUGAGAGUUCUUUCUCGAUUCAGUGGAUGGUGGUGCAUGGCCGUUCUUAGUUGGUGGAGUGAUCUGUCUGGUUAAUUCCGAUAACGAACGAGACUCUCCCCUGCUAACUAGUCGAUUGGAUUUUGCGUUCGAGUGCGUAGUGUGGGCCGUUGGUCUCCUUGCUGUCUCUGCGUGUCAUAUGUGGGCAUUCGUGUCUACCUCUUUGAUGUGUCUUGGUGGCUUGCGAGCGCCGCGUGUUUGUGCUACUUCUCCAAGUCCGUCGCUUACUUACGCAAGUGAUGUGUAACAGCAAAGCUAUAUAUGAGUAAAACUCUUCUUAGAGGGAUUCACGGUUCUGAAGCCGUAAGAAACUGAGAGCAAUAACAGGUCUGUGAUGCCCUUAGAUGUUCUGGGCCGCACGCGCGCUACAAUGCCGGGCUCAGCAGGUAUCUAUCCUUCUCCGAGAGGAGUGGGUAACCCUCUGAAAGCCCUCGAAACAAUUUAUAAAGGUCGGUGCUUUAGUGCCUUCCUUCCUUGGCAUGCUUGGGCCUGUGGCUUGCAAUUUUUUCACACAAACGAGGAAUGCCUAGUAGCAGCGGAUCACUGAGUUCGCUGUGACUCAGUCCCUGCCCUUUGUACACACCGCCCGUCGCUACUACCGAUUGGGUGUACCAGUGAGAUCCUUGGACUGGCGAGCCUUGUGACCUAGCAAUAGGCCGCAAGUGUGUACGACGGGAAGAGGCUCGAACUGGUGCACUUAGAGGAAGUA
rnacentral:rRNA from 1 species